CAGCAGCCGCGGUAAUACGGAGGGGGCUAGCGUUGUUCGGAAUUACUGGGCGUAAAGCGCACGUAGGCGGCUUGGUAAGUUAGAGGUGAAAGCCUGGAGCUCAACUCCAGAAUUGCCUUUAAGACUGCCGAGCUAGCAGGUGAGAGAGGUAAGUGGAAUUCCGAGUGUAGAGGUGAAAUUCGUAGAUAUUCGGAAGAACACCAGUGGCGAAGGCGGCUUACUGGCUCAUACUGGACGCUGAGGUGCGAAAGCGUGGGGAGCAAACAGGAUUAGAUACCCCGGUAGUCCCUGUCUCUUAUAA
rnacentral:rRNA from 1 species